CCUACGGGAGGCAGCAGUAGGGAAUCUUCCACAAUGGGCGAAAGCCUGAUGGAGCAACGCCGCGUGGGUGAAGAAGGUCUUCGGAUCGUAAAACCCUGUUGUUAGAGAAGAAAGUUCGUGAGAGUAACUGUUCACGUUUCGACGGUAUCUAACCAGAAAGCCACGGCUAACUACGUGCCAGCAGCCGCGGUAAUACGUAGGUGGCAAGCGUUAUCCGGAUUUAUUGGGCGUAAAGGGAACGCAGGCGGUCUUUUAAGUCUGAUGUGAAAGCCUUCGGCUUAACCGGAGUAGUGCAUUGGAAACUGGGAGACUUGAGUGCAGAAGAGGAGAGUGGAACUCCAUGUGUAGCGGUGAAAUGCGUAGAUAUAUGGAAGAACACCAGUGACGAAAGCGGCUCUCUGGGCUGUAACUGACGCUGAGGUUCGAAAGCGUGGGUAGCAAACAGGAUUAGAUACCCCGGUAGUC
rnacentral:rRNA from 1 species